GUGGGCGAGGCCUCGCCGUCACACACGGGAUUCGGGCCUGCGGCCAAAACCCUCAGACCCCAGUGCAUGCAGAUAAACAGUUCUGAAGGUACACACAACAGUGGGGAAAGUGAGCGCUGGCUGCUCGCCCGAUUCGGGGUGGCAAUGACCUUGCAGUGUGCUUUAAAGCCCUUAUCUUUCCUUUAGGCUGAAGUUUUGGUAGAUGACCCAAUAUAAUGUCUGCUUCUUUUAAAACCUCCUGGGGUCGAUCCCUGGGUCAGGAAGAUCCCCUGGAGAAGGAAAUGGCANNNNNNNNNNNNNNNNNNNNNNNNNNNNNNNNNNNNACGGAGGAGCCUGGUGGGCCAUAGUCCACGGGGUCGCAAAGAGUUGGACACGACUGAGUGACUUCGCCUUCGCCUUCGUUGGUGGAGCGAGGGCACCAACUGUGUGAGUCAUUUGGUCACUGUUGAAGUUGGGGGUGGAGGGCACUUGGAGCUCAUCAUAGCCUCUAUUAUGAAAAUUAUGUCUAUUGGAGAUUUUCCAAAAUAAAAAGUUUUUAAAAAGAUGGCCAGCACCCCACUAAAAAUCCACAGACAGACAGUGUGGAAAGUACAUUUGGGACUUUUGAUUCCAAAGUGGUGUAGGAGACAGGGUUCUCUGAGCGGUCCUGAAAAGACGAGAAAUCCCUGAGCGUCAGAGGCUUGAGGGGCCGAUGGCACAGGGCAACCCCGGGCCAACCUGUGCCCGAGAGAGGACUCCUGCCGAACAGAGUGUGGACGGGCUGUCUGAGCAGGGGGGCGGGGGCAGGGCAGAUGGCGGAGCUGCACUUGGCUGACUUUCGGAUGUGGUUGGUGCAGUGCAGCCCCCACGACCUGUCUACAUGUGUGUGCGUGCAUGUAUGCACACAAACACAGGGACGCACAUACAUGUACACACGCCAAACACAGAGACACAAUCACAGGCACACAUACAUGUAUGCACACAUAGGUAUACACGCACGCACGCACGCACACACACAUACGGCAGUUCGGGGCCACUCAUGGGCCCGAUGCCUGCACCAGCUCGCCCUCACGCUCCCACCUCCCCCACCUGCCUGUCCUGGGCCCCUCGCCACAGGCGCCCCGUGUGCUCCCCUCCCCUGUCUGCUGAGCCCCCUCUGGCAGGCCCUGAGCCGAGCAGCUGGCCUCCUGCUCGAGGUCGGUGUGGUGGUGCUGCACUUCUAGGAAGUCAGCAACCAGGCAGAUUGUCAGGCUGCAGGGCUGCGGAAAGCCUGUGGGUUGGGUGCUGCUCAGAUUAG
rnacentral:lncRNA from 1 species